rnacentral:rRNA from 1 species
GAUGAACGCUAGCGGCAGGCUUAACACAUGCAAGUCGAGGGGUAUAGUUCUUCGGAGCUAGAGACCGGCGCACGGGUGCGUAACGCGUAUGCAAUCUACCUUUUGCAGAGGGAUAGCCCAGAGAAAUUUGGAUUAAUACCUCAUGGUAUGUGAGAAUGGCAUCAUUUUCACAUUAAAGUCACAACGGCAAAAGAUGAGCAUGCUUCCCAUUAGCUAGUUGGUAAGGUAACGGCUUACCAAGGCAACGAUGGGUAGGGGUCCUGAGAGGGAGAUCCCACAAACUGGUACUGAAACACGGACCAGACUCCUACGGGAGGCAGCAGUGAGGAAUAUUGGACAAUGGGCGCAAGCCUGAUCCAGCCAUGCCGCGUGCAGGAUGACGGUCCUAUGGAUUGUAAACUGCUUUUGUACAGGAAGAAACACUGGUUCGUGAACCAGCUUGACGGUACUGUAAGAAUAAGGAUCGGCUAACUCCGUGCCAGCCGCCGCCGUAACAC